rnacentral:rRNA from 1 species
AAACUGAAGAGUUUGAUCAUGGCUCAGAUUGAACGCUGGCGGCAGGCCUAAUACAUGCAAGUCGAGCGGAAACGAUGGGAGCUUGCUCCCAGGCGUCGAGCGGCGGACGGGUGAGUAACGCGUAGGAAUCUGCCCAGUAGUGGGGGAUAGCCCGGGGAAACUCGGAUUAAUACCGCAUACGCCCUACGGGGGAAAGUGGAGGAUCUUCGGACUUCACGCUAUUGGAUGAGCCUGCGUGAGAUUAGCUUGUUGGUGGGGUAAAGGCCUACCAAGGCGACGAUCUCUAGCUGGUCUGAGAGGAUGAUCAGCCACACUGGGACUGAGACACGGCCCAGACUCCUACGGGAGGCAGCAGUAGGGAAUAUUGGACAAUGGGGGCAACCCUGAUCCAGCCAUGCCGCGUGUGUGAAGAAGGC